UACGAAGGGGGCAAGCGUUGUUCGGAUUUACUGGGCGUAAAGGGCGCGUAGGCGGAAGUGCAAGUCAGAGGUGAAAGCCCUGGGCUCAACCCGGGAAUUGCCUUUGAAACUGUGCAUCUUGAGUGCGGGAGAGGGUGGCGGAAUACCCAGUGUAGAGGUGAAAUUCGUAGAUAUUGGGUAGAACACCAGUGGCGAAGGCGGCCACCUGGCCCGCAACUGACGCUGAGGCGCGAAAGCGUGGGGAGCAAACAGG
rnacentral:misc_RNA from 1 species